GAUGAACGCUGGCGGCGUGCCUAAUACAUGCAAGUCGAGCGAACAGACGAGGAGCUUGCUCCUCUGACGUUAGCGGCGGACGGGUGAGUAACACGUGGAUAACCUACCUAUAAGACUGGGAUAACUUCGGGAAACCGGAGCUAAUACCGGAUAAUAUAUUGAACCGCAUGGUUCAAUAGUGAAAGACGGUUUUGCUGUCACUUAUAGAUGGAUCCGCGCCGCAUUAGCUAGUUGGUAAGGUAACGGCUUACCAAGGCGACGAUGCGUAGCCGACCUGAGAGGAUGAUCGGCCACACUGGAACUGAGACACGGUCCAGACUCCUACGGGAGGCAGCAGUAGGGAAUCUUCCGCAAUGGGCGAAAGCCUGACGGAGCAACGCCGCGUGAGUGAUGAAGGUCUUCGGAUCGUAAAACUCUGUUAUUAGGGAAGAACAAAUGUGUAAGUAACUAUGCACGUCUUGACGGUACCUAAUCAGAAAGCCACGGCUGACUACGUG
rnacentral:rRNA from 1 species